UUGGGUUAAGUCCCGCAACGAGCGCAACCCUCGUUCUAUGUUGCCAGCGCGUUAUGGCGGGGACUCAUAGGAGACUGCCGGGGUCAACUCGGAGGAAGGUGGGGAUGACGUCAAAUCAUCAUGCCCCUUAUGUCUUGGGCUUCACGCAUGCUACAAUGGCCGGUACAAAGGGCUGCGAUACCGUAAGGUGGAGCGAAUCCCAAAAAGCCGGUCUCAGUUCGGAUUGAGGUCUGCAACUCGACCUCAUGAAGUCGGAGUCGCUAGUAAUCGCAGAUCAGCAACGCUGCGGUGAAUACGUUCCCGG
rnacentral:rRNA from 1 species